CCUACGGGAGGCAGCAGUGAGGAAUAUUGGUCAAUGGGCGGAAGCCUGAACCAGCCAAGUCGCGUGAGGGAUUAAGGCCCUGCGGGUCGUAAACCUCUUUUGCCGGGGAGCAGUGGUCCGGACGUGUCCGGGCCGGGAGAGUACCCGGAGAAAAAGCAUCGGCUAACUCCGUGCCAGCAGCCGCGGUAAUACGGAGGAUGCGAGCGUUAUCCGGAUUUAUUGGGUUAAAGGGGCGCGUAGGCGGGCAUUUAAGCCGGCGGUCAAAUGUCGGGGCUCAACCCCGGCCUGCCGUCGGAACUGGGUGCCUUGAGUGGGCGAGAAGUAGGCGGAAUGCGUGGUGUAGCGGUGAAAUGCAGAGAUAUCACGCAGAACCCCGAUUGCGAAGGCAGCAUACCGGCGCCCGACUGACGCUGAGGCACGAAAGUGCGGGUAUCGAACAGGAUUAGAUACCCCGGUAGUC
rnacentral:rRNA from 1 species